GAAAAAGUCCAGUGCUAUACCGAAGAUGUGCAAAAGAUUUUGUAGAUGUUUCACCUUGGCUUUUGGUUCCUACAUUGUAGGCUGCGUUACUGUGGGAAGUAGUGUCGUCGGAGCUGUUCAUAUGUUUGAAGAGUUGACUACGAUUACUGAUACUUGGAUGGAAUCUACAAGCGAAGGGGUUUUUGAUUUCAUGACUCUUGUAGCAUUGUGUUUACAUACAGUACUGUGUGUUAUUGGGAUUGUCAUUUUAUACGGUUUGAUUAAC